ACGUAGGGUCCAAGCGUUAAUCGGAAUUACUGGGCGUAAAGCGUGCGCAGGCGGUUGUGCAAGACCGAUGUGAAAUCCCCGGGCUUAACCUGGGAAUUGCAUUGGUGACUGCACGGCUAGAGUGUGUCAGAGGGGGGUAGAAUUCCACGUGUAGCAGUGAAAUGCGUAGAGAUGUGGAGGAAUACCGAUGGCGAAGGCAGCCCCCUGGGAUAACACUGACGCUCAUGCACGAAAGCGUGGGGAGCAAACAG
rnacentral:rRNA from 1 species